GCGAGGGCUGCUGGCUUGGCACGGGCCUGCCGCGCUCCUGGGGCAGCGAGAGCCUCUGGGGGAGAAGAGAGGCGACGGCGCAGUCACUUGCUGACUGUAAAAGGGCCUGGAGUCCACCCCUGGGUGGUGACUCCAUCUCUAGAGGUGACUCCGUAGCCCCAGCAGGUAGGGCACAGCUCCUCUGAGCAGUGCCUUUGGGGAGCAGCAGCUCCCUGCUCACUGACUUUUACAUUUUCUUAUGCCUGCACUGCACCCCUGCUUCCAUGGGGUAGAGGCAAGUGUAAGCUAUCAUCAGCAAGUAAUCUGAUUUACGCUGACAUCUCUAAUCCCUUAGCUUUUAAAGGAGGCUGGAUAAGUGCUGGGGAAAAUAUGUACCAAAACUGAGCGGUGCCUCUUCCCCGAAAUCACCCUGCUGCAUGUGGGGGAGCCUGUGCAGGGCGAUGGCCUCCUCCUGUGCUGCAGCAAAGCCCCGCUGGACACGGUGCUAAAAGGCCACCCCAAGGAGGUGCUUAGGGCGGACACAGCACUACGAACCUGGGGUCUCUGAGGGGCAAUAGGAACCAGUCGCCGGAGUCAUUCUGACUAACCCAGCCCAUCUAAAAAUACGCUCAUGAUGCAUCCAUUAAAAAUGUAGUGAUAGCUGAUAUAUUAUUUAUACAUGAACUACUUAGUUUAUUCAGCACUUGCUGAAACCUUUCAGGCUUUUUGGAGCAGCACAACUUAUUUUAGAGGAAUGCAAAUGAAAAGUCUUGGUAAUGGAGUGCCUCCAAACCAAUUCACAAGCUUACAAAGGGAGAUGCUAGUUGCCAUGACGCUGAUCUUAGAAGAAAUAAGGAAGGUGGUGUAGGAGUUCAGUGUAGGAAGUUUGGAGGGCUUUCAUCGUUCCUUCCCGCAGUCUAAGGACUAAAAAGAAAAGAUGCUGAUGGCUCCUCCAUCAGUAGGAGUCAUCUACAGUGAGACAGUGCAAUUGAUCCCCAGGAGAGGGGGCAGAUAUUCAGCACUUCUGAUUUCUGAAAUAUUAGGGCAGCUUCAUGGACAAGAAGAUUCAAGGACUCAAGAUGAAGCAAAAGGUAAUAGUGGAACUGAGAGAGAGAUUUGAAAGCAUGCUGGAAGGAGGCUGUGAAGACAUGUAACGCACAGUUUGAAGUAGUUUUGAUAUUCCCAUCUAGCCAAACUCCCCCUAUGGGCUCUGUCACAGCGUGAUUCAGCCUACUUCUUCUAGAAGAGUAUCUGGGCGUGGGAGGAAUUGCUCUGUGGAGGUCCUUCUUCCCUCUGCAGCCUAAAGAGAGACCUCAGGCAAAGUGCAAUUCUGUAAAGGGAUUUGAUGCUUGGGUGCAGAGUCUGCCCAGAGCCUCAUGCCUGUCUCCGCCUACGGAGCAGUUGCAGGUGUCAAAACUGCUGUAAAUAGUCCUGGGACCAGCGAUAUGUAUCUGUAGGAGGGCUUGGUUGCAAUGUGUGAAACCAUUAUCCCUUCUUGUCAGUUGUUAAGGAGCUGGAGCUGUCCCAACCUCUGCAUCUACUCCGCGUAUCACGUGUUUAUCUGCUGAAACCCAGCGAACACAAAGGGCAUCCGCAGGACCCACAUGCCAGCAACUGCCUGGUAAACAAGAACUGCAGCUCACUAGUUCUGUAGCGACCACCCUGUGAUCUAGUGGUGAAGGCAAAAGAAUAAAUUUCACCUAGGCUGCUCUGA